rnacentral:rRNA from 1 species
GACGAACGCUGGCGGCGUGCUUAACACAUGCAAGUCGAGCGGAAAGGCCCUUUCGGGGGUACUCGAGCGGCGAACGGGUGAGUAACACGUGAGUAAUCUGCCCUUGGCUUUGGAUAACCACCGGAAACGGUGGCUAAUACCGGAUAUGACGGGCUCCGGCAUCGGGGUUCGUGGAAAGUUUUUUCGGCCAGGGAUGUGCUCGCGGCCUAUCAGCUUGUUGGUGGGGUAAUGGCCUACCAAGGCUUCGACGGGUAGCCGGCCUGAGAGGGUGACCGGCCACACUGGGACUGAGACACGGCCCAGACUCCUACGGGAGGCAGCAGUGGGGAAUAUUGGACAAUGGGCGAAAGCCUGAUCCAGCAACGCCGCGUGAGGGAUGACGGCCU